rnacentral:lncRNA from 1 species
GGACAUUUAUCCCUAAUACGCCCCCUCGAGAUGAUGGCUCUUUGAACGUCAAUCUCGGAAUGCUCGGGCAAGGAUCGAUGGGCCGACUUUGGGCUGGAUCGAUAAUGGAUCGGAUUGGACUGCGUGGAUCGGGCUCUGAUACCAUGUUAAGCUAGAUGGGCUUCCAACCUAAAACCAAUUGGUGCUAAGUGGAGUGACCCAUCUAUCUUAUAUAUUGCUUAGGAUCCCUUCCAAUAUCCGAUGUGGGACAUUUAUCCCUAAUACGCCCCCUCGAGAUGAUGGCUCUUUGAACGUCAAUCUCGGAAUGCUCGGGCAAGGAUCGAUGGGCCGACUUUGGGCUGGAUCGAUAAUGGAUCGGAUUGGACUGCGUGGAUCGGGCUCUGAUACCAUGUUAAGCUAGAUGGGCUUCCAACCUAAAACCAAUUGGUGCUAAGUGGAGUGACCCAUCUAUCUUAUAUAUUGCUUAGGAUCCCUUCCAAUAUCCGAUGUGGGACAUUUAUCCC